GUGCCAGCAGCCGCGGUAAUACGUAGGGGGCAAGCGUUGUCCGGAAUUAUUGGGCGUAAAGCGCUCGCAGGCGGUCUUUUAAGUCUGAUGUGAAAUCUUGCGGCUUAACCGUGAGCGGUCAUUGGAAACUGGAGGACUUGAGUACAGAAGAGGAGAGUGGAAUUCCACGUGUAGCGGUGAAAUGCGUAGAGAUGUGGAGGAACACCAGUGGCGAAGGCGACUCUCUGGUCUGUAACUGACGCUGAGGAGCGAAAGCGUGGGGAGCGAACAGGAUUAGAUACCCUGGUAGUCC
rnacentral:rRNA from 1 species